rnacentral:rRNA from 1 species
GACGAACGCUGGCGGCGUGCCUAAUACAUGCAAGUCGAACGCAGUGGGGACGGGUGAGUAACACGUGGGUAACCUCCCAUCAGAGGGGAUAACACUUGGAAACAGGUGCUAAACCGAUACUGAUGGAUGGACCCGCGGUGCAUUAGCUAGUUGGAGAGGUACCGGCUCACCAAGGCCACGAUGCAUAGCCGACCGUAGAUGGUGCUCUGCCACACUGGGACUGAGACACGGCCCAGACUCCGACGGGAGGCAGCGUUAGUGAAGCUUCGGCAAUGGACGAAAGUCUGACCGGGCAACCCCGCGUGAGUGAAGAAGGUUUUCGGAUCGUAAAACUCUGUUGUUAGAGAAGCGGUAUCUAACCAGAAAGCCACGGCUAACUACGUGCCAGCAGCCGCGGUAAUUC